AGGGUGAUAGUUAAAAUAACAUUUGAUUUGCAUUCAAAAAUUAUUAAAUUUUUAAAUUUAAUUUACCUUA
rnacentral:tRNA from 1 species